rnacentral:rRNA from 1 species
AUUGAACGCUGGCGGCAGGCCUAACACAUGCAAGUCGAGAGAGCGGCGGACGGGCGAGUAAUGUAUGGGGACUGCCCGAUAGAGGGGGAUAACUACUGGAAACGGUAGCUAAUACCGCAUACUAUGGGAAAACACAUAUGGGAUUAGCUAGUAGGUGAGGGACUGGCUCACUUAGGCGACGAUCCCUAGCUGGUCUGAGAGGAUGAUCAGCCACACUGGGCCCGUGACACGGCCCAGAAUCCUACGGAGGCAGCAGUGGGGAAUAUUGCACAGUGGGCGCAAGCCUGAUGCAGCCAUGCCGCGUGAAUGAAGAAGGCCCUAUGGUUGUAAAGUACUUUAAGUCUGAAGGCUUUACCGACAGAAGAAGCACCGGCUAACUCCGUGCCAGCAGCCGCGGUAAUAC